GUGCUUGCUUCGGCAGCAUGUAUACUAAAAUUGGAACGAUACAGAGAAGAUUAUCAUGGCUCCUGCACAAGGAUGACACGCAAAUUUGUGAAGUAUUCCGUAUUUUA
rnacentral:snRNA from 1 species